AAACAAAUUACCCGAGGGAAUAAUGUCUGAGGAAAACCUUUAGGCGUACUACAGUAUUGGUAUACUAUUUGCUUAAUCGACUUGGCGAAAUUCUAUCUCCUUCGUGUGUGACAGUGCGAUUGUCCGCGAACCUUUUUUUUUUUUUGAUUUACGCCCGUUUUCUAAGUCGGCGACGAAAGAAAAACGACGGGGAUCGCGACGUCAGAUACGUCAACGGCGGAGUGACUAAUUGUGAUAAAUAUUUGAUUCGGGGAUUUCACGGCUAUGAUCGUCUAUUCACACGAAUACAUUGUGUGCAGAUCCGGAGAUAAAUCACCGUAAUUUGGUAACACACUGAAGUUGAUACGUAAACAGAAGGGGUGAAGUAUCCGGGUUAACCCCUUCUCCGAAUUUCUACGAAAGUUGUAAAUUCUAUGCAACAUUACGUAAAUUGUAUUAUGCGUAAUAUUGUUUGUCAAUUUUGUAUGAACCCUUCCCACCUCCCGAAUUUCGUUUUGUGUACGUACUCGUGUUCGUGCCAAAUAUAGUAUUACCCCAUUCUUUUGAUAUAUUACUAUUUACAUUUAUACCGCCAGAAAAUCGCCAGAGAGACAAUCGAUAAAUUACUAUACUUACAUCAAAAGGUUGCCAGGUUCUGCUCCACGCCGAAUAUUGCGUUGAAU